CAGCCGCCACGGUAAUACGGAGGGGGCUAGCGUUGUUCGGAAUUACUGGGCGUAAAGCGCACGUAGGCGGCUUGGUAAGUUAGAGGUGAAAGCCUGGAGCUCAACUCCAGAAUUGCCUUUAAGACUGCCGAGCUAGUAGGUGAGAGAGGUAAGUGGAAUUCCGAGUGUAGAGGUGAAAUUCGUAGAUAUUCGGAAGAACACCAGUGGCGAAGGCGGCUUACUGGCUCAUUCUAGACGCUGAGGUGCGAAAGCGUGGGGAGCAAACAGGAUUAGAGACCCGGUAGUCCCUGUCUCUUAUACA
rnacentral:rRNA from 1 species